rnacentral:rRNA from 1 species
UUGUGCGACGAGAGACCCCUGGUAGACCACCAGGUUGAUAGGCCGCGCGUGUACCGGCAGAAAUGCCCUCAGCGAAGCGGUACUAAUGGUCGAUGACUUGGUCAC